rnacentral:misc_RNA from 1 species
GCUCAAUUAAUGGAAUUAAAGUGUAUAACUUACUUCUACCAACUUAAUUAUACUUAAUUCCACCACCAAUUGCAUCAAACUCAAGCAAAUCCUAUUUCCCCUAAGGUUGACCGAAAUUCCCCAAUUGGUCUAACAUGUGUAAUUUGUUUAAAAUUUUCACAAUUUCUAUGUUAAUCCAACUACAUAAACAUGAAUUUAACUAAAAA